rnacentral:rRNA from 1 species
GACGAACGCUGGCGGCGUGCUUAACACAUGCAAGUCGAACGGAAAGGCCCUGCUUUUGUGGGGUGCUCGAGUGGCGAACGGGUGAGUAACACGUGAGUAACCUGCCCUUGACUUUGGGAUAACUUCAGGAAACUGGGGCUAAUACCGGAUAGGAGCUCCUGCUGCAUGGUGGGGGUUGGAAAGUUUCGGCGGUUGGGGAUGGACUCGCGGCUUAUCAGCUUGUUGGUGGGGUAGUGGCUUACCAAGGCUUUGACGGGUAGCCGGCAUGAGAGGGUGACCGGCGACAUUGGGACUGAGGGACGGCCCAGACUGCUACGGGAGGCAGCAGUGGGGAAUAUUGCACAAUGGGCGGAAGCCUGAUGCAGCAACGCCGCGUGCGGGAUGACGGCCUUCGGGGUGUAAACCGCUUUCGCCGGUGACGAAGCGUGAGUGACGGUAAUGGGUAAAGAAGCACCGGCUAACUACGUG